AGUGAACGCUGGCGGCGUGCUUAACACAUGCAGGUCGAACGAGAACGGGUUAUAGCUUGCUAUAAUUGUCAGCUAAGUGGCGCACGGGUGAGUAAUGUAUAGGUAAUAUGCCUCUUACUAAGGGAUAACAAAUGGAAACGUUUGCUAAUACCUUAUACUCCUUAUUAACAGAAGUUAAUAAGGGAAAGAUUUAUUGGUAAGAGAUUAGCCUGUAUUGUAUCAGUUAGUUGGUGGGGUAAUGGCUUACCAAGACUAUGACACAUAACUGGUUUGAGAGGAUGAUCAGUCACACUGGAACUGAGACACGGUCCAGACUCCUACGGGAGGCAGCAGUGGGGAAUAUUGAACAAUGGACGAAAGUCUGAUGCAGCAACGCCGCGUGGAGGAUGACACAUUUCGGUGCGUAAACUCCUUUUAUAUGAGAAGAUAAUGACGGUAUUAUAUGAAUAAGCACCGGCUAACUCCGUGCCAGCCGCCGCGGUAA
rnacentral:rRNA from 1 species